rnacentral:rRNA from 1 species
GACGAACGCUGGCGGCGUGCUUAACACAUGCAAGUCGAACGGUGACGAGGAGCUUGCUCCUCCGAUCAGUGGCGAACGGGUGAGUAACACGUGAGCAACCUGCCCCUCACUCUGGGAUAACAGUUGGAAACAGCUGCUAAUACCGGAUACGACACAGACAGGCAUCUGUACUGUGUGGAAAGUUUUUCGGUGAGGGAUGGGCUCGCGGCCUAUCAGUUUGUUGGUGGGGUAAUGGCCUACCAAGACGACGACGGGUAGCCGGCCUGAGAGGGCGACCGGCCACACUGGGACUGAGAUACGGCCCAGACUCCUACGGGAGGCAGCAGUUGGGAAUCUUAGGCAAUGGACGAAAGUCUGACCUAGCGACGCCGCGUGAGGGAAGAAGGCCUUCGGGUUGUAAACCUCUGUCAUGGGGAAGAAGGAAGUGACGGUACCCAAGAGGAAGCCCCUGCUAACUACGUGCCAGCAGCCGCGGAAUAGUGUGUGUA